CGCCUUGCCAGCCCGCUCAGAAACUUAAAGGAAUUGAGGGGGCCCGCACAAGCGGUGGAGUAUGUGGUUAAUUCGAUGCAACGCGAAGAACCUUACCUGGUCUUGACAUCCCGGAGACCCUUAGGAAACUAGGGGGUGCUUCCAUCUGGAAGAAUCUGGAGACAGGUGCUGCAUGGCUGUCGUCAGCUCGUGUCGUGAGAUGUUGGGUUAAGUCCCGCAACGAGCGCAACCCUUGCCUUUAGUUGCCAGCAGUUCGGCUGGGCACUCUAAAGGGACUGCCGGUGUUAAACCGGAGGAAGGUGGGGAUGACGUCAAGUCCUCAUGGCCUUUAUGACCAGGGCUACACACGUACUACAAUGGCCGAUACAAAGGGCAGCGACACUGCGAGGUGAAGCCAAUCCCGUAAAAUCGGUCUCAGUCCGGAUUGGAGUCUGCAACUCGACUCCAUGAAGUUGGAAUCGCUAGUAAUCGUGGAUCAGCAUGCCACGGUGAAUACGUUCCCGGGCCUU
rnacentral:rRNA from 1 species